rnacentral:lncRNA from 1 species
AGAGAAGCUCAGCAAAAACCAGAGGAACCAAGCAGCACCAGCCCCUCCAUCGUCGCACGCCCGGAAGGCCAUCGUCGGCCGUUUUCCUCCUCUGUUUUCCCCUCGUUCCAGUUUCUGCUCCAGCUGACCUUUCGCCAAAGAUCCGAGUAAAAAGUUAACUUCCCGGUUGAAUCAGCGAACGAGCCACCCAUCGCCACGAAGAAGACAUCCAGACCGUUCCAGAGCACCUCGCCGCUCGCCGGAACGAUUCUCCGGUCGUCCCGUACGGCCGCCCGAAGCUGCCGCUCGCCGGACCGUCUGGUUCCGCCCUGCUCCGCCUGUUCCGCGUUUUCUUGCUGUUUCGCCCCUUUCCGACCCUUCCUUUGCCCAUCCCAACCUCCUACAAGAUCCCCAAGACCCCCGGGAGCCAUUGGUUGCCAACCACCCGCUUGCCGGAGCUCCGAUCGGCCCGUUUUCGCCGUUGAAGUUGCUGGUUUCUUCUCUGCAGUUCAGCCUAGAUCAGAAGCAGAAAACCAGAAAGCUGUGAGGUCUUCGAGGCCCAUUUUAGGUGUCUUCCCGGCCUUGGUUGGUGUCGCCGCCUUGAGGUUUAUCGCCCGCCUUGGCGUCGCCUUCGCCGUGGACUCGCCGGAAUGUUAAUCCGGUGAGUUUAUCCUCUAAUUCUUGCUUAGUGAGUUAAUGACGCUUAGGGGUGUUUAGAUUAGUCUAAUUAGGUUUAUGUGAUUAAAUUAGAUUAUUUUAGUGUAAAUUAGAUUAGUUGUAUGAUUAGUUUAAUGGAUGUUUAAUUAGGGCUAAUUAUAUGAUUAAAUUAGUGUAAUCUUGUUUAAGCCCUAAUUAAUUAUUUCGAAUUUUUAAAUAUUAUUUUAUUAUUUUAUAUUAUUAUAAUAUAAUAUUUAAUUAUUUAAUUUUCGGAAUUAAUUUUAAUUAUUUAAUAAUUUCGAAAAUUAUGCCGGGAUGGCCGGUCGUUAGAAUUUCGCGCUGAUCGCAGCAGUGCGGUCGGUUUGUGUUAAUUGUAUGUUUAAAUUGAGAAAUUGAGUGAUUGAUGAUUAUGGUUAAUAAUUCCAAAAGUAUGGAAUUGAGUGAUAUUGAUGAAGUUGUGGUAUUUAACUUGAAAAUACCCGGUGUUAGCUUUUAGCACCGUAAUUGGUUUGUGUGACCAGUUUGAAUCGAUUGGAUUGAUUGAUUGAUUGAAUUGAGAUAUGAAUUGGUUUAUAUAUAUGUAUCAGCUUGGGCGAGCAAUUAUGAUAUACACAUAUACAUAUAUAUAUGGCAGCUUCUAGUGAGCUAAGAUUGUUUUAUCAGCUUGUGCGAGCACGAUCUAUAUAUAUAUCAGCUUGUGAGAGCAAUGAUCGUUUAUCAGCUUGUGAGAGCAACGAUCCAUAUAUCAGCUUGUGCGAGCUAUCAUCUAUGUAUAUAUCAGCUUGUGCGAGCUACCAUCUAUAUCAGCUUGUGAGAGCAUUGCAUCCAUUUCAGCUUGUGCGAGCCGUAAUUGUAUUGAUGGAUGAAUAGAUGGUAUGGUUUAAUAGAUGAUAUGAAUUGAUAGACAUGUGGAUCGUAUGAUAUCAAUUGGAUUGACUGAAUUGAUAGACCGAUGGGUAUGUCGGUAGAUUCAGCUUGUGCGAGCAUUGUUUGAAUAUGAAUUGUACUGACGUGCAGGAAAGGGAUUGAGGCGAGGUAAGCCCUCUAUCCUAUUUGUGUGGCUAGAGCGCCCUGAGGCGUAUUUUCUUCCUAAUUGAGUUUUAGAUGGUAGGACUCGCUGAGACGUAGUCUCAUCCCGGUUGUGGGAUAAUAUUUCAGGUCCCUAGAUGACGGUCGUGGAGGACCGGAAGUCCUGGAGUUCGGAAGGUGGAGGUUGAAGAAUCGGCGAACGUGUCUGACAAGUUGGUCAUAGGACAGUUCCCUAGUUGUUGAGCCUGUCUAUUUUGUAG